AUUGAACGCUGGCGGCAUGCCUUACACAUGCAAGUCGAACGGUAACGGGUCCUUCGGGAUGCCGACGAGUGGCGAACGGGUGAGUAAUAUAUCGGAACGUGCCCAGUAGUGGGGGAUAACUGCUCGAAAGAGCAGCUAAUACCGCAUACGACCUGAGGGUGAAAGGGGGGGAUCGCAAGACCUCUCGCUAUUGGAGCGGCCGAUAUCAGAUUAGCUAGUUGGUGGGGUAAAGGCCUACCAAGGCAACGAUCUGUAGUUGGUCUGAGAGGACGACCAGCCACACUGGGACUGAGACACGGCCCAGACUCCUACGGGAGGCAGCAGUGGGGAAUUUUGGACAAUGGGCGCAAGCCUGAUCCAGCAAUGCCGCGUGCAGGAAGAAGGCCUUCGGG
rnacentral:rRNA from 1 species